rnacentral:lncRNA from 1 species
GCUGUAGAAAUUAACUUCUCACUGGGAAACAAAAAAAAAAAAAGAGGGCAACUGAGAGAUUAGAAGUGCAUGACUGAAAAUUAUAUUGGCAAGAAUAAAUCGAUAAAGCUCUAUACUGGAGAAGAAAAAAAAAAGGAGAAUAACGGCUGUGCAGAGAACGAAGAGUGAGAAAUAAAGACAGCAGCAACUCUUUUGUAUAUAAAGAUAACUAGGGGUUGGCCCGGGCUACGCCCGAAAUUUUAUAUAAUUUUAAAUUAUAUUUUUAUGUUUGAUUUUGUAUUUAAAUAUAUCUUAAAUAUACAGUGAUAUUGGUUAUACAAAUAUAUAUUGGUAGAUAAAUGAAAAUGUAAUAUUUAUUUAUUCAUGAUGAACGAACUAAAAUUAUUUAUACUCAUAUUUUUGCAUUUUGAUAGCUGAAAAUUAUAUUUAAGAAAGUUAAUUA